AUUGAACGCUGGCGGCAGGCCUAACACAUGCAAGUCGAACGAGUGGCGGACGGGUGAGUAAUGUAUGGGAAACUGCCUGAUGGAGGGGGAUAACUACUGGAAACGGUAGCUAAUACCGCAUACUAUAGGAAGUGCCCAGCUGGGAUUAGCUAGUAGGUGGGGUAAAGGCUCACCGAGGCGACGCUCCCUAUCGGGUCUAAGAGGAUGACAAGCGACACUGGAACUUAGACACGGUCCAGACUCCUACGGGAGGCCGCAGUGGGGAAGAUUGCCCAAUGGGGGCAAGCCUGAUGCAGCCAUGCCGCGUGUAGGAAGAAGGCCUUCGGGUUGUAAAGUACUUUCAGCGGGGAGGCGUUACCCGCAGAAGAAGCACCGGCUAACUCCGUGCCAGCCGCCGCGGUAAUAC
rnacentral:rRNA from 1 species